rnacentral:rRNA from 1 species
GCAGUCGAACGAGAAACGGAUUUAGCUUGCUAAAUUGCAGUCUAAGUGGCGCACGGGUGAGUAAUGUAUAGGUAACAUGCCUUCUACUAGGGGAUAACAGUUGGAAACGACUGCUAAUACCCUAUAUUCCUUAUUAGCACAAGUGUGUAAGGGAAAGAUUCAUUGGUAGAAGAUUGGCCUAUAUUGUAUCAGCUAGUUGGUAGUGUAAUGGACUACCAAGGCUAUGACGCAUAACUGGUUUGAGAGGAUGAUCAGUCACACUGGAACUGAGACACGGUCCAGACUCCUACGGGAGGCAGCAGUGGGGAAUAUUGCACAAUGGGCGAAAGCCUGAUGCAGCAACGCCGCGUGGAGGAUGACACAUUUCGGUGCGUAAACUCCUUUUAUAUGGGAAGAUAAUGACGGUACCAUAUGAAUAAGCACCGGCUAACUCCGUGCCAG